rnacentral:rRNA from 1 species
GAUAAACGCUAGCGGCAGGCUUAACACAUGCAAGUCGAGGGGCAGCAUAGAUUGUAGCAAUACAAUUGGUGGCGACCGGCGCACGGGUGCGUAACGCGUAUGCAACCUACCCGUCACAGGGGGAUAAUCCGGAGAAAUCUGGUCUAAUACCCCAUAACAUAUGGAUCGGCAUCGGUUCAUGUUGAAAUUUUCGGAGGUGACGGAUGGGCAUGCGUAGCAUUAGCUUGUUGGUGAGGUAACGGCUCACCAAGGCGACGAUGCUUAGGGGGACUGAGAGGUUUUCCCCCCACACUGGUACUGAGACACGGACCAGACUCCUACGGGAGGCAGCAGUGAGGAAUAUUGGUCAAUGGGCGCAAGCCUGAACCAGCCAUGCCGCGUGCAGGAAGACGGCUCUAUGAGUUGUAAACUGCUUUUACAAGGGGAUAAAUCGGUGUACGUGUACACCGUUGAAGGUACCUUGGGAAUAAGGAUCGGCUAACUCCGUGCCAGCAGCCGCCGUAA